GACGACGCUGGCGGCGUGCCUAACACAUGCAAGUCGAACGGGAACAGUUUGGAGCUUGCUUCAGACUGUUUUAGUGGCGGACGGGUGAGUAACGCGUGAGGAACCUGCCUUUCAGAGGGGGAUAACGUCUGGAAACGGACGCUAAUACCGCAUGACAUUCCGAGAUCACAUGGUUUUGGAAUCAAAGGAGCAAUCCGCUGAGAGAUGGACUCGCGUCCGAUUAGCCAGUUGGCGGGGUAACGGCCCACCAAAGCUGCGAUCGGUAGCCGGACUGAGAGGUUGAACGGCCACAUUGGGACUGAGACACGGCCCAGACUCCUACGGGAGGCAGCAGUGGGGGAUAUUGCACAAUGGAGGAAACUCUGAUGCAGCAACGCCGCGUGAGGGAAGACGGUCUUCGGAUUGUAAACCUUUGUCUUCGGUGACGAUAAUGACGGUAGCCGAGGAGGAAGCUCCGGCUAACUACGUG
rnacentral:rRNA from 1 species